GUGAUGGCUUCAGCAACACAUGUACUAAAAUUGGAAUGUUACAGAGAAGAUUAGCAUGGGCCCUGCACAAGGAUGACAUGCAAAUUCAUGAAGCAUUCCAUAUUUAA